GGAAACGACUGCUAAGACUGGAUAGGAGACAAGAAGGCAUCUUCUUGUUUUUAAAAGACCUAGCAAUAGGUAUGCUUAGGUAGGAGCUUGCGUCACAUUAGUUAGUUGGUGGGGUAAAGGCCUACCAAGACUAUGAUGUGUAGCCGGGCUGAGAGGUUGAACGGCCACAUUGGGACUGAGACACGGCCCGAACUCCUACGGGAGGCAGCAGUAGGGAAUUUUCGGCAAUGGAGGAAACUCUGACCGAGCAACGCCGCGUGAACGAUGGAGUAUUUCGGUACGUAAAGUUCUUUUAUUAGGGAAGAAUAAAUGAUGGAAAAAUCAUUCUGACGGUACCUAAUGAAUAAGCCCCGGCUAACUAUGUGCCAGCAGCCGCGGUAAUACAUAGGGGGCAAGCGUUAUCCGGAAUUAUUGGGCGUAAAGGGUGCGUAGGCGGUUAAAUAAGUUUAUGGUCUAAGCGCAAUGCUCAACAUUGUGAUGCUAUAAAAACUGUUUAGCUAGAGUAAGAUAGAGGCAAGUGGAAUUCCAUGUGUAGUGGUAAAAUGCGUAAAUAUAUGGAGGAACACCAGUAGCGAAGGCGGCUUGCUGGGUCUUUACUGACGCUGAGGCACGAAAGCGUGGGGAGCAAACAGGAUUAGAUACCCUGGUAGUCCACGCCGUAAACGAUGAGUACUAAACGUUGGGUAAAACCAGUGUUGAAGUUAACACAUUAAGUACUCCGCCUGAGUAGUACGUACGCAAGUAUGAAACUUAAAGGAAUUGACGGGACUCCGCACAAGCGGUGGAUCAUGUUGUUUAAUUCGAAGGUACCCGAAAAACCUCACCAGGUCUUGACAUGCUUCUGCAAAGCCGUAGAAACACAGUGGAGGUUAUCAGUUGCACAGGUGGUGCAUGGUUGUCGUCAGCUCGUGUCGUGAGAUGUUGGGUUAAGUCCCGCAACGAGCGCAACCCUUAUUGUUAGUUACCAGCACGUAAUGGUGGGGACUUUAGCAAGACUGCCAGUGAUAAAUUGGAGGAAGGUGGGGACGACGUCAAAUCAUCAUGCCCCUUAUGACCUGGGCUACAAACGUGAUACAAUGGCUGUUACAAAGGGUAGCUGAAGCGCAAGUUUUUGGCGAAUCUCAAAAAAACAGUCUCAGUUCGGAUUGAAGUCUGCAACUCGACUUCAUGAAGUUGGAAUCGCUAGUAAUCGCGAAUCAGCAUGUCGCGGUGAAUACGUUCUCGGGGUUUGUACACACCGCCCGUCA
rnacentral:rRNA from 1 species